GUGGUCAAGCUAAUAAGGGCUUGCGGAGGAUACCUAGGCACACAGAGGCGAAGAAGGACGUGGUUACCAACGAAAAGCUCCGGGGAGUUGGAAGCAAGCAUUGAGCCGGAGAUGUCCGAAUGGGGGAACCCUAAAAACUGCCUAUUGAAUAUAUAGAUAGGUAAGAGCGAACCGGGCGAACUGAAACAUCUUAGUAGCCCGAGGAAAAGAAAUCAAACGAGAUUCUCCAAGUAGUGGUGAGCGAACGGGGAAGAGCCUAAACCAACAAGCUUGCUUGUUGGGGUAGUGGGACAGCAUGAUGCGAAUCGUAGAGUUAGACGAAGCAUUGAAAAGAUGCACCAGAGAAAGUGAAAGUCUUGUAGUCGAAAACUUGAAGAUAGCUGCUGAAUCCCGAGUAGCAUGGGACACGUGAAAUCCCAUGUGAAUCAGUCUCGACCACGAGAUAAGGCUAAAUACUCCUGUGUGACCGAUAGCGAAACAGUACCGCGAGGGAAAGGUGAAAAGAACCCCAACAAGGGGAGUGAAAAAGAACAUGAAACCGCAAGCCCACAAGCAGUGGGAGGACGAUUAAACGUCUGACCGCGUGCCUGUUGAAGAAUGAGCCGGCGAGUUAUAAGCACUGGUAGGUUAAGUGGAUAGCACGAAGCCAAAGCGAAAGCGAGUCUGAAGAGGGCGAAAUCAGUGUUUAUAGACCCGAACCCUGGUGAUCUAACCAUGACCAGGAUGAAGCUUGGGUAACACCAAGUGGAGGUCCGCACCGACCGAUGUUGAAAAAUCGGCGGAUGAGUUGUGGUUAGGGGUGAAAUGCCAAUCGAACCAGGAGCUAGCUGGUUCUCCCCGAAAUGUGUUGAGGCGCAGCGGUUGUGAAGAACUCGGGGGGUAAAGCACUAUUUCGGUGCGGGCUGCGAGAGCGGUACCAAAUCGAGAUAAACUCUGAAUACCCGAAGAAAACACAGCCAGUGAGACGGUGGGGGAUAAGCUUCAUCGUCAAGAGGGAAACAGCCCAGACCACCAGCUAAGGUCCCCAAAUCAUCGCUAAGUGGCAAAGGAGGUGGGAGUGCAUAGACAACCAGGAGGUUUGCCUAGAAGCAGCCACCCUUGAAAGAGUGCGUAAUAGCUCACUGGUCAAGCGCUCCUGCGCCGAAAAUGAAUGGGACUAAGCGAUGUACCGAAGCUGUGGGAUUACAUU
rnacentral:rRNA from 1 species